UACGUGGGGUGCAAGCGUUAAUCGGAAUUACUGGGCGUAAAGCGUGCGCAGGCGGUUUUGUAAGUCUGUCGUGAAAGCCCCGGGCUCAACCUGGGAAUUGCGAUGGAGACUGCAAGGCUUGAAUCUGGCAGAGGGGGGUAGAAUUCCACGUGUAGCAGUGAAAUGCGUAGAGAUGUGGAGGAACACCGAUGGCGAAGGCAGCCCCCUGGGUCAAGAUUGACGCUCAUGCACGAAAGCGUGGGGAGCGAACAGG
rnacentral:rRNA from 1 species